CCUACGGGAGGCAGCAGUGAGGAAUAUUGGUCAAUGGGCUUACGCCUGAACCAGCCAAGUCGCGUGAGGGAAGACUGCCCUAUGGGUUGUAAACUUCUUUUGUCAGGGAGCAACUCCCGCUACGUGUAGCCGGACUGAGGGUUCAUGAAGAAAAAGCAUCGGCUAAUUCCGUGCCAGCAGCCGCGGUAAUCCGGAGGAUGCGAGCGUUAUCCGGAUUUAUUGGGUUUAAAGGGAGCGUAGAUGGGUUGUUAGGUCAGUUGUGAAAGUUUGCGGCUCAACCGUAAAAUUGCAAUUGAUACUGGCAGCCUUGAGUACAGUUGAGGUAGGCGGAAUUCGUGGUGUAGCGGUGAAAUGCAUAGAUAUCACGAAGAACACCGAUUGCGAAGGCAGCUUACUAAACUGCCACUGACAUUGAGGCUCGAAAGUGUGGGUAUCAAACAGGAUUAGAUACCCGGGUAGUC
rnacentral:rRNA from 1 species